CAGGUAGUAGUUUAUUCAAAAUAUGCGCUUUGGAAGCACACGAUCAAUUACCCAAUUGCUACCUGA
rnacentral:tRNA from 1 species